ensembl:snRNA U6 U6 spliceosomal RNA
AUGCUUGCUUCAGCAGCACAUAUACUGAAAUUGGAAUGAUAUAGAGAUAAUUAGCAUGGUCCCUGC